UACAGAGGUCUCAAGCGUUGCUCGGAAUCACUGGGCGUAAAGCGCACGUAGGCGGCUUCUUAAGUCAGGGGUGAAAUCCUGGAGCUCAACUCCAGAACUGCCUUUGAUACUGAGAAGCUUGAGUCCGGGAGAGGUGAGUGGAACUGCGAGUGUAGAGGUGAAAUUCGUAGAUAUUCGCAAGAACACCAGUGGCGAAGGCGGCUCACUGGCCCGGUACUGACGCUGAGGUGCGAAAGCGUGGGGAGCAAACAGG
rnacentral:rRNA from 1 species